CAAUUUAUAAAACAUGUAAGCGGGAAAGUGGUGUAUCAUUACAACAUAAGAACGAACUAUUAAAAUCAGUUGAAAAGGCUUAACUCAUCAGAUGAAUACAAUCAGAAAUACUACACAGAGUCAACGUGGCCGGGUACUUGUAUAUCCCAUGCCACAACCAAAAAAAAUCACUAAGUUCAGAAUACACAUUUGAAAAAAAGAAGAGAAAAACAAACACAAUAAAGAUUUCAAAAUACAUACUCACUAUGACAAGAAAAAAUAAACAAACAAAUUAAUAAAUACGAGAAAACAGUAAAAGAAAAAUAAUACCCGACAAUUGACAAAAUAAUCCCAGAUUUACUAACUCAAAGAAAGCAGUUUUUCAAUAAAACAUUUUGUUCAAAGCAAAAGUAGAAGCACAUACAACUCAAAGAUAUUGUGUUGUGCAAGUUAUUAUCUUUUUCUCAACAAAAAUUGUGCAAGUAAUUACUGAUACAAUUAUAUUGUAUGAAGUAAUAACCUGUACAAAAUAAGAAAAUGUACACGACAAAUACAUGUACAUCCAAAGAGUAAAGAAUUAAAGAUUACUGAUGAAUUUAUUUAUACUUUUUGUAUUCAAUGUUAAUGACAAUUUAGCUCGCGUAAAUACGUUGUGUGUUAGUCGUAUUUCACUUGGUAUUAAGUUUCACUGGUGUCAACGUGAUAAUCGUACAUUGUAACUGCAAAUACGAUCAUCCCAAUAUGGCGGACACAAAUUUAGGGAAAUUUUAGACGGCUAAUGUCUCCACUUUAACAGCUUAUUUUUAGAUUUGUAUUAUGUCAAGAAACAUCUUUAUAAGCAUUUCCAUUGAAAUAUUUUUUCGAACAGGAUGGAAAAGCAACAAGAAGAAUGAAAAUCUAGGUACAAAAAAUCUCGAUGACGAGGAUAACUUUGAUUUAUUUUUAUCAACGAUGAUCGUAACUUUUACUUAAGAUGAUCGUAACUGUUUGUUCAAACGAAGCAUUUUCUGAUAAAUAAAGCUGUCGGGUAUGCAAUAAAGUGUACAUUAUCAACUAACCUUGUGAUAAUGAUGAGAAACGAUCACUGAGGGGAGGGUAACGUCAUAUUGGUAAUUGCAGAAAUGGUUAUGAUUUUGAGAGAUUUCGUACUUAUUUUUAUCUAUUUCAAUAUUAAAAUGCAUUGGGGG
rnacentral:lncRNA from 1 species